rnacentral:rRNA from 1 species
UAGAGUUUGAUCCUGGCUCAGGAUGAACGCUGGCGGCGUGCCUAAUACAUGCAAGUCGAGCGAACGGAUAAGGAGCUUGCUCCUUUGAAGUUAGCGGCGGACGGGUGAGUAACACGUGGGUAACCUACCUAUAAGACUGGAAUAACUUCGGGAAACCGGAGCUAAUGCCGGAUAACAUUUGGAACCGCAUGGUUCUAAAGUAAAAGAUGGUUUUGCUAUCACUUAUAGAUGGACCCGCGCCGUAUUAGCUAGUUGGUAAGGUAACGGCUUACCAAGGCAACGAUACGUAGCCGACCUGAGAGGGUGAUCGGCCACACUGGAACUGAGACACGGUCCAGACUCCUACGGGAGGCAGCAGUAGGGAAUCUUCCGCAAUGGACGAAAGUCUGACGGAGCAACGCCGCGUGAGUGAUGAAGGUUUUCGGAUCGUAAAACUCUGUUAUUAGGGAAGAACAAAUGUGUAAGUAACUGUGCACAUCUUGACGGUACCUAAUCAGAAAGCCACGGCUAACUAAC